GUCACAGCAAACAUGUUCAUUUUAUUGUUAAUUUAAAAAAGGGAACAAUGCAUUAUGAAAUUUGGAAUUGUAAAGUAAUUUUUCCCUUUUAAAAAGCAAUAUUUUUUAAUUUUUUUUUUUUUCUUUUCCCACAGAUACCAUCAAAGCCAGCAGUGUUGGGUUUCUAUUUGUUGUGUUUGGUACACUAACUAGCAAGCACUCUGGCCCACAGGGUGAGAAGAAUGUAAUUUAUCAUCAAAGGUUCAUAUAAAUAUUGAGGUAUUUCUGCCUGACCAUUUUUUUCAUGCUUCAGCAUGAGGCCCUGAGGACAGCACGAGAGGAAAAAGUUUUAGAAAGAAAAAGUUCUUGCCUUACUUUGGGUAUGGAAAAAGUAAUUAGUAAAAGUAGUCAGUAAUAAGGGCAAGACUGUGUCACUGGGGAAAGAAAUCAAGAGAAUGGUCACUAUUUAGUCAGAAGGAGAUACUUGGAAAGCGGUAAAGAUAGUGUGACUGCGCUUUUGAGGAACUAACUGUAGAAAGCAGAGUACAAAUUGUUGGUCAGAGCACAUUUGUCCAACCCAAUUCAAUCUACUGAAGGCUUAAUUGAGUUUAUUUGCAAGCAUGGCUGGCUCUGUACACAGUUGGUUCUCACACACAACGUGAUUAGUACAUUGUUGGUAACUAUGGCAGCUGAAUACGUACCAUCGCUGCCAGAAACGGCCUGGCACAUGACUGUCUUCUGACAAGUAUUUGGCACACACUUUCACAGGGUAGAUUAAUCUCCUGACUCUGCUGCUGGACACGGUUUGGAGAGGUUGGCUUCUGACGGGUUUAUGCUACUGGCCCACACAGCGUGCCUCUGGGCACUCUAGCAUCUGUUUGAGACACGUGGCAGGGCAGAUGCCCGAAACUCUGAAGAUGUACCAGAACCAUCUAACAGAGAUGACUGUGGAUGCACGACUUGACAUAUCUUUGUUCCUUGAUGGGAAUUGCUGCAGGAAACAGUUCCAACUUUGUGUUACCACAGGGUCUGAUGAAAAUGCCAGAAAUCUUUAGAAUACAGUGGUACUCCUAAUGCGGACAGUCCUUCGUGGGAAUUGUUAACAUGUUAGCAGCUUUGGCCUAAGAUUUCCUGCGAUGUUCCUGUGAUUCACCUGCUCCCAACUGAAAUUUGGCCAACAAAAGGCAGAAGUUCUUACUUACACUACGUCUUAAAUACACAAUAUCAAAGUGACAUGUUACAUGGUUUUCGCUUCUUGGUUUGUACACUUCCCAAACUGGGAUAAUGUUUCUGCAGAAGUUUUACAUGUAAUUAUGCUGCUUGAAUCACUUCCAUUUAACUACACAUUUUUUUUCCUGCACUAACUAGCUUCACAGAAUUUCUGUUAGCAUAUCUUCUUCAACAUUACUUUGCUCCUUCUCCCAAGAAUUCUUCAGGAAUGGAGUCCUGAGACAGAGCUUGAGAAAGAAAAUUAACUUCUUGUUAGAUGGACUGGAUCUGCACCCAAACUCUGGAUUAAGUUUCUGGGUUUACCACAUAUUAUAUGUAUGAUGUGAGGCAAGCUAUACUCCUUCUUUAUGCUGCAAUUUCUCAUCUUGAAAGUGGGAAUGAUAAUACUUUCUCUACGUCAUGGAAUUCUUGAGAAGUAAAGUCCAUUGACAGUAAUGAGAAGCUUAGGCAGAAUGGAAGCAACCAGCUGCUCUUUGCAGGCAUCAGAUAAGGGUGUUUGUCAUCUAAACUUGGGCUGGAACUGGUUUUCAGUGCCGCUGCCUGCGCAAAGGGAGAUCAGUGGCUGGGUAUGCCUGACACAGCCACCCCUUGCACUCUGUCCUUCUGGAGGUCAAUUAGACGUAUCCACAUCUGUUACCUCAGUGGGCACAAAUAAAGACCUCUGAGAAAAAUGUCCAAAUUGUAGAAAAAUAGCCUG
ensembl:lncRNA